rnacentral:rRNA from 1 species
CAACUUUUAACAACGGAUCUCUUGGUUCUCGCAUCGAUGAAGAACGUAGCAAAGUGCGAUAACUAAUGUGAAUUGCAUAUUCAGUGAAUCAUCGAGUCUUUGAACGCAACUUGCGCUCAUUGGUAUUCCAAUGAGCACGCCUGUUUCAGUAUCAAAAC